rnacentral:tRNA from 2 species
GUGGCUAUAGCUCAGUUGGUUAGAGCAUCGGUUUGUGGUACCGAGGGUCGUGGGUUCGAGUCCCAUUAGCCACCCA